AUGCAAAAAAUAUAACAGAGACUGCAUAUAUAUGAUUGAGUUGUGCUUGUUAGAUUAU
rnacentral:sRNA from 1 species